AGUGAUGGGAAAAGGGGACAGAUUUGAAUGGCACUUACUUAGUGUUUAAGUAAGUGCCAUUCAAAUCUGUCCCCUUUUCUCGUCCUG
rnacentral:misc_RNA from 1 species